ACACAUGCAAGUCGAACGGCAGCGCGGGAGCAAUCCUGGCGGCGAGUGGCGAACGGGUGAGUAUUACAUCUGGAACGUGCCCAAUCGUGGGGGAUAACGCAUCGAAAGCUGUGCUAAUACCGCAUACGAUCUACUGAUGAAAGCAGGGGAUCGCAAGACCUUGCGCCAAUGGAUCGGCCGAUGGCAGAUUAGGUACUUGGUGAGGUAUAGGCUCACCAAGCCUUCGAUCUGUAGCUGGUCUGAGAGGACGACCAGCCACUCUGGGACUGAAACACGGCCCAGACUCCUACGGGAGGCAUCAGUAUCCAU
rnacentral:rRNA from 1 species